rnacentral:rRNA from 1 species
GAUGAACGCUGGCGGCGUGCUUAACACAUGCAAGUCGAACGGGAAGGCCCUGCUUUUGUGUUGUGCUGGAGUGGCGAACGGGUAAGUAACACGUGAGUAACCUGCCCUUGAUUUUGGGAUACAUUCAGGAAACUAGGGCUAGUACCGGAUAGGAGCUACUGCUGAAUGGCGGGGGAUGGAAAGUUUCGGCGGUAGGGGAUGGACUCGCGGCGUAUCAGCUUGUUGGUGGGGUAGCGGCUUACCAAGGCUUUGACGGGUAGCCGGCCUGAGGGGGUGACCGGCCACGUUGGGACGGGAAUACGGCCCAGACUCCAACGGGAGGCAGCAGAGGGGAAUAGUGCACUAUGGAAGGAAGGCUAAUGCAGUAACGCGGCGUGGGGUAUGAGGGCCUUCAGGUUGUAAACUGAUUUCGCCUGUGACGAAGCGUGAGUGACGGUAACGGAGUAAGAAGCACCGGCUAACUACGUG